UACGGAGGAUCCGAGCAUUAUCCGGAGUGACUGGGUGUAAAGAGUUGCGUAGGUGGCAUAAUAAGUAGCUAGUGAAAUCUGGUGGCUCAACCAUUCAGACUAUUAGCUAAACUGUUAAGCUCGAGACCGUUAGGGGUAACUGGAAUUUCUAGUGUAGGAGUGAAAUCCGUAGAUAUUAGAAGGAACACCAAUAGCGUAGGCAGGUUACUGGGACGGUUCUGACACUAAGGCACGAAAGCGUAGGGAGCAAACAGG
rnacentral:rRNA from 1 species